CAAUAACGUAUAUUAAAGUUGUUGCGGUUAAAAAGCUCGUAGUUGGAUUUCUGUUGAAAGUGGCCGGUCCCCACUCCGUGGGCGUAUCUGGUUCGCUUUUGGCAUCCUCCUGUGGAACGUUUCUGCCCUUCAUUGAGUGGAGCGGGACCCAGGACUUUUACUUUGAGGAAAUUCGAGUGUUUACGGCAGGCAAUCGCCUUGAAGAUAUUAGCAUGGAAUAAUAAUAUAGGACCUUGGUCUUAUUUUGUUGGUUUCUAAGACCGAGGUAAUGAUUAAAAGGGAUAUUUGGGGGCAUUCGUAUUAACCGGUCAGAGGUGGAAUUCUUGGAUUCGGUUACGACGAACUACUGCGAAAGCAUUUGUCAAGAAUGUUUUCAUUGA
rnacentral:rRNA from 1 species